CCAAAUCAUCAUGACAUUCCUAAAGCUGCAGACUUGCCAAAUCAUCAUGACAUUCCUAAAGCUGCAGACUUGAAGGAAUGUCAUGAUGAUUUGGCAAGUCUGCAGCUUAAGGAAUCGUAUGAUGAUUUGGC
rnacentral:pre_miRNA from 1 species